ensembl:lincRNA
GUGUGUGGGGACGGCACUGUGGCUCAGUGGUCAGUACUGUGGCCUCACAGCAAGAAGGUCUCUGGUUUGAGUCUCGGCUGGGUCAGUUGGUGUUUCUGUGUGGAGUUUGCAUGUUCUCCCCGUGUUGGCGUGGGUUUCCUCCGGGUGCUCCGGUUUCCCCCACAGUCCAAACACAGUAGUGUAUGAGUGUGUGUGUGUGUGUGAAUGAGUGUGUGUGCGGGUGUUUCCCAGUACUGGGUUGCAGCUGGAAGGGAAUCCACUGUGUAAAACACAUGCUGGAAUAGUUAGCGGUUCAUUCCGCUGUGGCGACCCCACAACAUAUUUAAGUUUAAUAUAUAUCAUCCAACAUAAUGCAGAUAUCACGACAGGUCUACUAAUGACCUCUGAUAUGACCCCACUCACAUUUCCUAACGGAUGAAUGAUCCAAAACUGAACUUGCAUAUAUGGAUGCUGAAACAUCGGUGUAUGUUGGCUGAUCUGACAUCAGUUUUUACAGCAUCUUAACCCUGAUCAAUAACUCAACUGAUCAUCUGGAUCAAUCCUCCUGCAAAACAGACACUGACUCCUCAAGCAGAAAACAUCUUAACAUCACACUUUAAUCCAGUCUCUAGAGCAUCAGCAGACGCCUCUGCAAGGUCACUACACACACACACACACACACACACACACACACACACACACACACACACACACACACACACACACACACACACACACUUCUGUUUGCCUUCAUUAUCUACUGUUUAUCCUUCACUAAUUCACUUUCAGGAGUCCUUCAGCAGUGUCUCACUUCUGUGUGUGUGUGUGUGUGUGUGUGUGUGUGUGUAUAAUUAGCACUGCUCUGAAUGAUAAUUGAUGAUCAUANNNNNNNNNNNNNNNNNNNNNNNNNNNNNNNNNNNNNNNNNNNNNNNNNNNNNNNNNNNNNNNNNNNNNNNNNNNNNNNNNNNNNNNNNNNNNNNNNNNNAGCGCAUACGGAAACCUGCGCUUCCACUUCACCAUGGGUGGUGGAGGCUGUGAUCCUGGAGAGUCCAGCAAGAAUAACGUGAUCGUCUUCGGCCGCUCGGAGGGCAGGAAGGAGCACGUGCUGCUGGAUGUCCUGCCAUACUCCGCCUACAGGACCCCUGCAGUGGUGUCCAUCAGUCUGCCCACUGAGCUGCAGACUCCACACACUCAGUUCUGUCUGGAGCAGGAGACUCACGCCGGACAGAACCGGCAGGUGUGGGCGCUGGACUUCCUGCAGCUCUUACCUGUGCAGCCUGGAGCGAACACACACCUGCUGCAGUUCUCCAUUAACCUGGGCUGCGGAGCGUACCAGCCGGCCAACAGUGUCAAACUGGAGUUCUCCACCAAUCAGGGCCGCUCCUGGGCUCUCCUGCACACCGAGUGUCUUCCGGAGGUGUGUUCUGGAGCCCACCUUCCCCACAGCAGCAUCUACUCCUCCGAGAACUACAGCGGCUGGUCCCGGAUCAGCAUCCCUCUGCCCAACGCCGCGCUGACGGAGAGUACACGCUUCCGCUGGAGGCAGAGCGCUGCGGGGACCGGGAACAUGUGGGCCAUCGACAACGUGUACAUCGGGCCGUCCUGCCUGCGGUUCUGCUCCGGCAGAGGACAUUGCUCCCGCACUGGCUGCCGGUGUGACCCGGGCUUCAGUGGCCCGGCGUGUGAGCUGGCGUCGCAGGCGUUCCCGGCGUUCCUGUCGGAGAGUUUCUCCAGCGCACGUCUCUCCUCAUACCACUGCUUCAGCUCGCUGCGCGGCGCCGAGGUCAGCUUCGCCUGCGGGGUUCUGGCCAGCGGGAAAGCCCUGGUGUUCAACAGAGACAGCAGGAGACACCUCAUCACCACUGCACUGGACAGCUCACAGGCCAGGUGCACACACACACACACACACACACACACACACACACACACACACACACACAGUUCAGUACAGUACAGACACUCAUGCUACAGCUCAGAAACAACUGUUUUUAAUCAUAUUCCCCUGUGUGUGUGUGUGUGUGUGUGUGUGUGUGUGUGUGUGUGGUGUGUGUGUGUGUGUGUGUGUGUGUGUGUGUGUGUGUUUUUUGUUAAAUAAAAUGUUUAUCAGUUGACUAUAAACAAUUAUCUUCAGGAAUAUGGAGAGUAAUUUUUCUAACAUACAAUAUUUGCAGACUGAAAUGACAUUUUGCAAUGGUUUUUCUCCAAACCUGGGAAAGUGAUGGC